AGAGUUUUUGCUUAAAACCUGUUUUUCAAGUUUUCAACCAGGUAUUGACUGUCUGUGAGAUGCAGCUCUCUGAAAGGACCCUGGUGCCUAUGGAUUGAGUAUCUCAGCCCAGACAAUGGGCUCCUGCCUCCAGGAGUGUGCGACUGAAAUAAAUCCACUGACUUGAGCAGCCCUGCUCCAUCGCAACCGAGAGCCGAAGCUGG
rnacentral:lncRNA from 1 species